rnacentral:tRNA from 1 species
AUUGAUAGCUUAAAUAACAGAGUAUAGCACUGAAGAUGCUAAGGUAGCAAUAUUGCUUCAAAGCA